CUUGAUCUUAUGCAGGGCUCUCUCCUCCUCCAGGAUCUGCACCCAGACAGUGAUCCCUGAUUUGCUGUAAGUCUGAUUCCAGCCAGUCUCUGAGUGGCACUCACUCUUGAAGUUCUGAAAGUCUCUGUCAUCUGGGAUCUGGACACUGUCCCUGGACAUGUUGGGGGGUUAGUGAGGGGUCUAUCCUGGACCUGGGAAGGAGGGGGUGAGGAUUAGGGGUACCCUGUGAGAGAGCUAAGGUUUUGGGUGUCAAUCAGAGAGAAUGACAGCUGAGAAGGUUAACAGUGAGGGUGAGAAUGGGGGAGUUGCACAGAGAGGGGGCUUAUAAUUGGGGACCCACUGGGGGGCUGAUAAUUGAGGUGUCUCUGAGAGGAAGCUGAUAAUGGGGAGCCACAGAGAAGGGACACACAGAGCAGGUGAAGGUCUAGGUUGAGGUAGGUAGCAGCAGACCCAGUGAGCUGGAGGUAGGUUGGUCUAUGCAGUGGAAGCUCCCAGUCCCAGCUGAUCCAUCAGAGAGCAAUGUGACCCAGCCCUGGAUCCGGUUCUACCAGCAGGGCAGGUGCAGCAGGCUGGAGAGAGCUCAGUCCCCGGGGGCACCUUCCUUGAUGGGUCCCUGUGACAAUCUCUGACUGGCUGAGCUGUCACUGUGUGUCUGUGUGUGGGGGUGGUGUGUAGCUGGGGGUGUGUAUUGUGAUGCUGGC